rnacentral:SRP_RNA from 1 species
UGCGCGGGAAGGGCCAGGGGGCUCGCCUCCCCCUACGCCCCGGAGGGGCGUCCCGAAGGCGUAAUGCGGGGGCCAGCAACCCGGCUAUACCCGAUGGGCGACGCAGCUGGCAGCCCCAAGCAACAAUGAACCCCGCCCCGUGGGGUCGGCGGUGCUGGAGGCGCCACCGGAGGGCGGCGUCCUACUAGCAUAGCCGGGGAAACCAGGCCAGGCCCGGAAGGGAGCAACCUAUCCCCGGACGCCGACGUUCACGGGGGAACGGGGCGAGAAGCUUGGGGGCAUACUGCCGCUGCGUAGAAGCCCACGGGUAUGGCGGGGGCCGCGCG